rnacentral:rRNA from 1 species
UCGGGAAUUUUGUGCAAUGGGCGAAAGCCUGACACAGCAACGCCGCGUGAAGGAUGAAGUCCCUCGGGAUGUAAACUUCGUAAGAAUAGGAAGAAUAAAUGACGGUACUAUUUGUAAGGUCCGGCUAACUACGUGCCAGCAGCCGCGGUAAUACGUAGGGACCAAGCGUUGUUCGGAUUUACUGGGCGUAAAGGGUGCGUAGGCGGCAUAUCAAGUCACUUGUGAAAUCUCCGGGCUUAACUCGGAACUGCCAAGUGAUACUGAUGUGCUAGAGUGCAGAAAGGGCAACUGGAAUUCUUGGUGUAGCGGUGAAAUGCGUAGAUAUCAAGAGGAACACCUGAGGCGAAGGCGAGUUGCUAGGCUGACACUGACGCUGAGGUACGAAAGCUAGGGGAGCGAACGGGAUUAGAUACCCACGUAGUCCCUGAGCGGGCUGGCAAGGCG